CCUACGGGUGGCUGCAGUAACGAAUCUUCCGCAAUGCACGAAAGUGUGACGGAGCGACGCCGCGUGCGGGACGAAGUCCUUCGGGAUGUAAACCGCUGUCAGGGGUAAGAAAGUCCUGAUCUACCCCAGAGGAAGGCACGGCUAACUCUGUGCCAGCAGCCGCGGUAAGACAGAGGUGCCGAGCGUUAGGCGGAAUCACUGGGCUUAAAGCGUGUGUAGGCGGACCCGUCAGUACCUUGUGAAAUCCCACGGCUCAACCGUGGAACGGCUCGGUA
rnacentral:rRNA from 1 species